AACGCACAUUGCGCCCAUUAGUAUUCUAGUGGGCAUGCCUGUUCGAGCGUCAUUUCAACCCUCAAGCCCUAGCUGCUUGGUGUUGGGAGCCUAUCUCCGGAUAACUCCUCAAAAGCAUUGGCGGAGUCGCGGUGACCCCAAGCGUAGUAAUUUUUCCUCGCUUUAGGUGUUCACGGCUGACGUCCUGCCGUUAAACCCCCAAUUUUUUAAUGGUUGACCUCGGAUCAGGUAGGAAUACCCGCUGAACUUAAGCAUAUCAAUAAGGCGAGGACGAUCUCAUGAGUCACUGUGAGUCAUCGAGUCUUUGAACGCACAUUGCGCCCUCUGGUAUUCCGGAGGGCAUGCCUGCUCGAGCGUCAUUUAAACCCCCAAGCCUCGCUUGGUCUUGGGUGCCCGGCCCCCUAGGGCCCACCCGCAACCAGUUUUGGCGGUACCGACCGGCUUCAAGCGUAGCAAGAAUUUCGCUUCCGGAGCUGUGCCGGCGCCUGCCAGGGAACAUCUUCCAGAGUUUGACCUCGGAUCAGGUAGGGAUACCCGCUGAACUUAA
rnacentral:misc_RNA from 1 species